CAGUCGCCGCGGGAAUACGAAGGGUGCAAGCGUUAAUCGGAAUUACUGGGCGUAAAGCGUGCGUAGGUGGUGGUUUAAGUCCGUUGUGAAAGCCCUGGGCUCAACCUGGGAAUUGCAGUGGAUACUGGGUCACUAGAGUGUGGUAGAGGAUAGUGGAAUUUCCGGUGUAGCAGUGAAAUGCGUAGAGAUCGGAAGGAACAUCUGUGGCGAAGGCGACUAUCUGGGCCAACACUGACGCUGAGGCACGAAAGCGUGGGGAGCAAACAGGAUUAGAGACCCCGGUAGUCCCUGUCUCUUAUAC
rnacentral:rRNA from 1 species